GGUGGAGCUCAGAGAGCUGGAGAGACAUGGUGGAGCUCAGAGAGCUGGAGAGACAUGGUGGAGCUCAGAGAGCUGGAGAGAGACAUGGUGGAGCUCAGAGAGCUGGAGAGAGACAUGGUGGAGCUCAGAGAGCUGGAGAGAGACAUGGUGGAGCUCAGAGAGAGACGUGGUGGAGCUCAGAGAGAGACGACGUGGUGGAGCUCAGAGAGAGACGUGGUGGAGCUCAGAGAGACCUGGUGGAGCUCAGAGAGCUGGAGAGACAUGGUGGAGCUCAGAGAGCUGGAGAGACAUGGUGGAGCUCAGAGAGCUGGAGAGAGACAUGGUGG
ensembl:lncRNA